UGGGUGUAGCUCCUGGUGCCCCAAUAGCAGUCCUCGAGCGUAUUAUCAUAGCUAACAAUAGGAGCAUUAGAUACAUUUUUCAGAUAUAUUUAAGUUCACAGAAGCAUGUACAUCAUGGUGCUAAGUGUUUACAGGCUGUAUAAGCAUGGGCAUAGGGUCUCUUAGGAGUCGUUUGGGCUUAAUGGUUGGGCCAAAAGCUAAGUGCGGGGAACUAUGCGGGAACAGUCAACUAUUGCUCCCCAAGACAGGCCUGGGAUGAAGUGUGACAGGUGUGGGGGUGUCUGUCAGAGCCUAUGUGCGCUUGUGCCAGGUAUAUGUUGUGGCGCAUGUCUGUCAGGUGCUGUCUCGUGACGGUUGGAGUGCAGGAUUGUCAGGUAGGUUAGAUCAUGUGUGGAGCCGUGUGUACUGGCUGUUAUGUCAAUGUUUGCUGGGGUAGUCCAAUGCUACAGGUUUGAGGUGCAAAGUCCAGAAUUAGCCAAUGACCCGGCUUGGGGGGCAGCAAAAGAUCGGGAGGCAGAGUUCAACUAAGUCCUCCCCAAAGCCCUGGGCCGUCUUGGAGACCUGCAUCUGCAGACCACGAACUCGGGUGCUCUCGGAGGAGGCUGCAUUCUUCCCUAACCAGGGGCUGCCAUGGAUCCAGGUGGAGGGUUGCCAUCUGUGGCGUUGGAUCCUCCGCGCCGGUGGCCGAUGCUCCGGGGAUGAUCCCCUGCUGGUCUUCAGC